rnacentral:rRNA from 1 species
AGCGAACGCUGGCGGCAGGCUUAACACAUGCAAGUCGAGCGGGCAUCCUUGUGGUGUCAGCGGCAGACGGGUGAGUAACGCGUGGGAACGUGCCCUUCGGUUCGGAAUAACUCAGGGAAACUUGAGCUAAUACCGGAUACGUGCGAGAGCAGAAAGGUUUAUCUGCCGAAGGAUCGGCCCGCGUCUGAUUAGCUAGUUGGUGAGGUUACGGCUCACCAAGGCGACGAUCAGUAGCUGGUCUGAGAGGAUGAUCAGCCACACUGGGACUGAGACACGGCCCAGACUCCUACGGGAGGCAGCAGUGAGGAAUAUUGGACAAUGGGGGCAACCCUGAUCCAGCCAUGCCGCGUGAGUGAUGACGGCCUUAGGGUUGUAAAGCUCUUUUCUCCGGGACGAUAAUGACGGUACCGGAGGAAUAAGCCCCGGCUAACUUCGUG